rnacentral:rRNA from 1 species
UACGUAGGGAGCAAGCGUUAUCCGGAAUUAUUGGGUGUAAAGGGUGCGUAGACGGGAUAACAAGUUGGUUAUGAAACCCCUCGGCUCAACUGAGGAACUGCAACCAAAACUAUUGUUCUUGAGUGCAGGAGAGGAAAGUGGAAUUCCUAGUGUAGCGGUGAAAUGCGUAGAUAUUAGGAAGAACACCGGUGGCGAAGGCGACUUUCUGGACUGUAACUGACGUUGAGGCACGAAAGUGUGGGGAGCAAACAGG